GCGCCCUUGGCCCAAUGGUUAAGGCAUCUGACUUCGAUCUCUCAGCGAUCCGGCAUCAGGGGAUUGCGGGUUCGAGUCCCGUGGGGCGUU
rfam:Sphaerulina musiva SO2202 unplaced genomic scaffold SEPMTscaffold_3, whole genome shotgun sequence.